GUGUGUAACUGCAGCGCGGCCCAGAUUUCGGACACGUAUUUUGUUCAGCCUAUUUUUCGAUUUAUUUGCCAUAUGCUACUUGCUAGUUUCAUCUCUGUUAUUGAUUAUCCUAAAUGUUUUGUUUUGCAUAAUAUACAAUUUAUUGAUAAAGGUUGGGUAGGUGUUACCCCAUGCUAAAAUACCAUAUUGAAGGUGAGGCAGGGACAACGUAUUAUAAAUUGAAAAUAAGAUAUCUGAAGGUAAUUCGUGUUUUAGUUUUCUUAAGAUACCCUGGUUCCGAGAAAAUGACAUUAGGACUUUUUGGCAGUGUUGCUUCCAAGAAAGUUUACUAUCAAUAAUUACACCUAGAAAUUUACAUGUUUCGACUUGUUCUAUUUGUGUGUCAUUUAAGUAAACACUGAUAAUCCUGUCGACCUUACCAUUGGAGAACAACAUACAUUGUGGAUUUCUUUUAAUUAACAGAUAGUUUAUUACAUUUAAACCAAUCAGUGAUUUUGCAUAGUUGUCGAUUAACAGUGUCAACUGCCUUAAGUAAGUUAUUACUGCUUUAAAUAACAUCAGUGUCAUCUGCAAAUAAAAUAAAGGAGAGCAUUUUGGAAGAGUUACAAAUGUCAUUUAUGUAAGCCAGAAAAAGUAUAGGGCCAAGUAUUGAACCUUGAGGAACUACACAACUGACUGGUGCAAAAGUAGAUUUGGUAUUCUGCCAUACCACAUACUGUUUCCUGUCACUUAAAUAGUUUUUAACCAAUCCCAAGCAAUUCCUCUAAUUCCAUAUUUAUUUAGUUUACUAAUCAAAAUAUUAUGGUCUCUUGUGUCAAAGGCUUUUAAGAGGUCCAAAAAUAGACCGACUGUGUGAAGAGAGUUGUCAAGUGAGGAACUUAGUUUUUUUCAAUGAGGUCAAUCAGUGCCAGAUGAGUUGAAUAGUUGGCCCUAAAACCAUACUGAGUCGCUGAUAAAAUAUUAUAUUUAUCCAUAAAGUUAUACAUUCGAUUUGCUACAAGUCUUUCUAAUAUUUUUGUAAAGUAGGGUAAAAUAAAAAUAGGACUGUAGUUACUAAUAAGGGAUGGAUCGCCAUUUUUGUAUAUGGGAAUAACUUUAGCUAUUUUCAAAUCAGUAGGUACUUUUCCUGAUUCGAAGGAACGGUUAAAAAUUGUCAAAGGAUUUAGUAUGUACGGUGCUAUAUCUUUAAUAAUGUGAUGAUCGAUCUCAUUAUGUCCUCUGCUUUUUUUGCUAGGAAGUUUAUUUAUACAAUUACAAAGUUCUUCAGUUGUUAUUGGGGUCAGAAACAAGGAAUUAGGUAAAACAUCACUUAAAAAUCUAGUGGGUCUAAAGUUGAUCGAGGGAUUUUCUGAGCUAAUUCAGGGCCUACAUUUAUAAAGAAAUUAUUAAACUGAUCAGCAAUUGUUUCAGGGUCUACAAUAUCUGAGUUGUUUAUCUUGAAUGAAGCAGGAGGCCGGGUGUUUUUUGAAUUUUCUUGAGAAUAUUGUUAAUAAGUUUCCAAGUAUUAGUUAAGUUAUUUUUUUCUUUGUUAAACAUCAUGGUGUAGUAUUUUGUCUUGGCUACUCUAAUGAUGUUAGUUAGAUUAUUUUUAUAUCUUACAUAUUUACACUUAUUUGAGUCCGUGGGAUUACUAAGAUAUUUUUUAUAUAAUAUGUGUUUUCGUCUAAUAGAUUUUAGCAGCCCCGUUGUCAUCCAUGGAUUAACAAUGAUGUUUUUACGGGAUUUAAAUCUCUUAUAAGGUAUUUAUCGUAAAGGUAAUUUAGUUUCUGUAUAAAUCUGGUGUAACGCCCAUCAAUGUUAUCUUCCAGCAGUUCUAAUCAACAUCGUUUAAUUCAUUCUUAAGACUAGCCAUAUUUGAUGCAAAAGUGUUUCUUUUCCAGUAAAAUACUUGUUUUUCUUUAGUUGUCAGAUUUGGUCCAAAUAUAAAAAUAGGUAGGUGAUCACUUAACCCAGAUAAUAGGAUUCCAGUUAAAUGAGGUUCAAUACCAUUUGUGAAAAUAUUGUCUAACAAGGUAGCUAUAUUCACGUUAUUCUGGUAGGUUUGUCGAUUGUUGGCCGAAAAGCAUGGCUAUACAAUGCAUUUAAGAAAUUGUUGCUUUGGGUGUGAGUUUCAUAAUUUAGUAAGUUUAUAUUGUAAUCACCAAGCAAAUAGCAAGUUUUAGUUUCAGAUGCAAUUUUUCCAAGAAUUACGGACACUUCUUCCAUAAAUGAGGCAAGAUUCAUACCGGGCGGCCUGUAAAUUAAACCAACUAUGAUAUUGUUUGUAUUUUUCGUUUGGAUUUCAAUAAAAAGUGAUUCAUAAUAAUUGGAUUGGAUAACUAGGUCAUGACGUAAACUAAAUGAUACUGAGUCCCUGAUAUAUAACAUAAUACCACCCCCCCCCCUUCGAUUAUUAAAAACUCAAUUUUGUAGCCAGGAAGAUAUAACAAAGAAUCUGGUUCAUUUUUUAGCCACGUAUCGGUUAACCCUAUAAUAUGAAAUUUGUGAGCAAUUUCCUCCAAAGUGAGGGUAAGAUCGUUAAAAUUUUUACCAAUAUUCCUGAUAUUUGCAUGAAACAUCGAGAAAGGUUCGUCACAUGAUAGCUGUUGAGUCAUAGCUUUUGCUUGUUGUUCAGUAAAGUAUUUAGUACCAGGUGAAUUAUAUAAUGGAUCACCAGAGUCUUCUUUGUCUAAAGGAAUUGGAUUAAAAACGCAGUCUUGGAUGCGAUUUAGAAUGUCA